AAAUCACUCAAAAAUAUAAACCUAUGGGCUCAAAUGGUUAUUUUGUUAUUGAUGGAAAAACAUUUUAUAUAAACAGUGUGCACUUAGAGGAAGAUACAAGUAAAUGUGUUAUACUGCCUAAUAGUUUUAAUGGUGGCAGUGGAAGUGGUGGCAGUGGAAGUGGUGGUAGUGGAAGUGGUGGCAGUGGAAGUGGUGGCAGUGGAAGUGGUGGUAGUGGAAGUGGUGGUAGUGGAAGUGGCGGUAGUGGUAGUGGAAGUGGUGGUAGUGGAAGUGGCGGUAGUGGUAGUGGUAAUGGUGAUAGUCAACAUGGAAAGCGUAUGUCAUCGAGGUGCAAAAGUGGCCCUUCUGUCCCUUUUAGUGUUGGUACCAUUACUACCAAUGACACAUACAAUCAUUCCACCGCUACUAACACAAACAUAAUUACCAGUACUGAUAUAAAUGCAGAAGAAACUAUUUCCAAGUACUUAAACAGAAAAAAUAUUAUGAAGAAAAAAAUAUUAUUAGACUAUAAUAGAUGUGGUAUUCCUUUAGUAGAAAUUGUUGUAAAUAAAGAUUAUAUGACGGAAGAUAAUUGUAUAAAUUUACUUAAAGUUAUAAAAAAUAAAGUAUGCCUAUUAGGUGUUUGUGUAGGUAAUAAAGAAAAUAUAAGGUCAGACAUAAACAUAUCUUUUGAAUAUAAAAAUAUAAAAUCAAAUCGAAUUGAAAUUAAAAAUGUAAACAGUUUUACAAAAAUAAAAAAUUGUAUUAAAAUAGAAAAGGAAAAUUUUAUAAACAGCAUUUUAAAAAAAAACAGUAAUAAUAAUAAUAGUGGUAAUAAUAAUGAUAAUUAUAAUAAAAACGUAUAUACGAAAAGUUACAUAGAUAACAAAAAUUACAUGUUACGAAAAAAAGAAGAAUAUACAUAUGUACACGAAAGUAAUAUUCCUGAAUAUAAAUUAAAAAAAAACAUUUUAAAUUUGUUAUAUUUUUAUGUUAAUCAUAAAAUUAAAAUAUAUGAUGAUAAAAUAAAAUAUAAAUGGUCAGAUCAGUAUUUUCAUGUUUUUUUUAGUGACCCUUUUUUAUAUAACUAUUUCAAUGAAUGCUUAUUAUAUGAACAAGAAAAAAAUGUUUCUAAUUUUAUAGUUAACAUAUUAUUAGAUGUUUUAAAGAAAAAAAAGUUAUUAUCAAAAAACAUUUUAAUUAAACCUAAAGACAUGUGUUAUCUUAUUAAAUGUUUAAAAAAAAACAACAUAGAUAAAACAUAUCUUAAAACGUAUUUGUAUAAACAUAUAGACAUCGGAUUUGAUAAUACAGAAAUACUUAAAAAUGUAAGUACCACAAGUUAUAAAAAAAUAAAACAAAUAGUAAAAAAAUUAAUUAAUAACAAUAUCAAAUAUACACAAAUGGAUAAUAAACAUAAUAAUGUUAUUCUUAAUGAACAAAAUUUUAAAAAUAGAAUUAUCGGAUUAUUAAAAAAUGAGGUCAAGCAACUGAAUAGCCAGUUAAAUAUUAAUUACCAGUUUGUGAGCGAUUUCAUUAUUUAUUAUGUUAGAAAAUUGAUUUGUGCACAAAGCGAAUGAUAAAUUAAGAAUCAGGUGUUACCUAUCGGGUGUCCUAUAUGUCCUAUGCAAUGACGAUUCUUUUUUCCUUUUUUUUUUUUUUAAUAAACAACAUCGACAUAUGAGAAAAUUAAAAAAA
ensembl:lncRNA